rnacentral:tRNA from 1 species
AGCUUGAUGGACGCAGUAGGUAGCGUGUGUACCUUUUAAGGUGCGAUAUCGGAGGUUCGAUUCCUCUCAAGCUA